AUGAACUCCACAAACCAUAACUCCAGUAGCGGCAAUUUUACCUCUGUAAUCAUUCACGGAAGAGGAGAUCAAUCAGAGAUCGAAGAUACCAGUAUUGAUGGUGGUGACAUGAACAUGGUAGAUGUAGAGAAUGGAUCUAGAGAAUAAAACAACCUUCAGUUCCAUCCCUCAGCUACAGAUCAAUCAACUAGUGCGGCAAAUCAGGCUCAUUUAUCGGAUGCAAGCUCAAAGCCGGGAAUGUGAGGAAUGCUGAAGAAGCUGAAAGUCUGGCCUUGUUUGAAGCAGUGAAUUGGGCAAAAGACAAAGGCCUAGAUAAAGUAUGCUUUGUCACUGAUGCUAAAGCAGUUAUAGACUCUUUUAAUUCUAGUAAUAGCCAAUUGCACUGGGAAAAUAAAACAGUCAUAGAUGACCGUAAAUCAAUCAUUUCUUGUUUUAGUCUAGUUAGAUUUGAAUUUCUAAAAAGAAACAAUACUAUGUUGGCAGACAAAGCUGCAAAGUUCUGUAGAAGGUCUAGAACCUCUGGGGAAUGGAUGGGGUACAUCCCUGAAUUCCUAAACUCUACUAUGUAACUUUCUCAGUUAAUAUAAUUCAUUGAUGGGGUACAUCCCUGAAUUCCU